CUGUUUUUAUAAUACACUGUUCACUUUACCAAAAGACAUAAGUCGUAAGCAGAUGAUUUUUUCUAAACAGUAUGUUAUGUUGACAGAAUAAAUGGAUGUUAUAUGUGCACCAGUGCAAUAGUCGUGUUUUCAAUUUGAGCAUUUUUUUUUUCUAGUUCAAAAAGGUGUUUUUUAAGAAGUGUUGUUUUUUUUAUAUCUGUGACUGAUUUAUGGAUGUAAGAUAAAUUUAAACACAAAACGUUGUAAUCUUGAUCAAAGAUAUUUACUCAGGAUGUGUUUAACAGACUCUAAUAAUCAUUUUAAAUGAAGUAAAAAAGGUUUUGAUCCUAAUUAGCCAACUUUAUAUACAGAUGAUUUGUGGAGGAGUUAUUUAUUUUUCCGUUCAUAAAUUGGAGAAUUAAUUUUACAAUUAAACUACAAUUUGAAUCGUCUAGAAUUUUUUCUGUGGGAAUAUUUUUUAAAUUUUGCAUCACAAUGUGAAAUAUAAGAAUGACGUUUCCAAAAGUGGAUUGGGAUUAAUUUCAACUUUUCAAUCUUAAUUAAAGAAAUCUUGAGGUCCAUGCAGUGAAAUGGAAAUGUGGACAAGAAAUAGACAUCAAGAAUGACAUUUUGGAGGACCAUAAUCCAAUUUGUUGUUAUGACAACGGUGUAUGCCACUACAACAGAAGUUAACCCAUCAUUCCCAAAAGAGUUUGAUUUCCGCUUUACCAGUUAUGAAGAUUUACUUAAAGAUAAUGAUACAUUUAAGACAUUCCAACAUGCAGAUCUUGCAGGAUUUGUACAGCUGACAGUAGAUCUACCCAGAAACCAGCUCAUUGUUGGAUCAAGAGAUAUCUUGUUACGACUUGACCUAGAUGACCUUGAGACCUUGGAGAAAGCAGAAUGGAAGUCAAAUGAAGACAAUAAACAACUGUGUUUGUUUAAAGGACAGACAGAGGAAACUUGCCACAACUUUAUAAGAGUUGUUUUUGUUCAUGGAGACUCGUUGUUUACAUGUGGAACAUAUGCAUUUAAACCAAAAUGUAUCUGGAGAAGUGCAGAAAAUUUGACUGUGAUAGAGCAAGAUGAAUUCCAUGCAGUUGGAUAUUGUCCAUUUACACCAGACCACAAUUCAACAGCAGUCUUGACAAAGGAUAAAAUGUACUAUAGUGGCACAGUGUUAGAUAUACAAGGCAGAGAUAAAGCUAUUUAUAGACCAAUGGGUAGCAGACCUUUAAGGACCAAGCAAUAUAACUCUAAAUGGUUAAAUGAUCCAGAUUUUGUCUCAGCUUAUGAGGUAGAUGAUCACAUCUACUUUUUCUACAGGGAAGUUGCUGUUGAAUAUAUCAAUUGUGGAAAGAGAAUCUAUUCACGUGUGGCAAGAGUUUGUAAGAGUGAUGCAGGAGGAGAUUUAUUAUUUGAAGAUAAUUGGACCACAUUUGUUAAGGCCAGGAUGAAUUGCUCGAUACCAGGAAAAUAUCCAUUUUAUUUUGACCAAAUACAGAGUACAUAUUUUCUAGACUCAGGAACUGAAAAAUUUUUCUUUGCAAUUUUCACUACAUCAGAAAACAGUAUAUCAGGAUCAGCAGUGUGUAUUUACAACAUGACAGCAUUCUCAUCUGUAUUUAAUGGAGCUUACAAAUACCAGGAGAAUGUUAGAUCUGCCUGGAUGAGAGACACUAGUGAAAAACCUUUACAGUGUCCAGAUGAUAGUGGAACUGAUAAAAGAUCAUCUGAUGAUGGUGUUUUACGGAAGUCUUCACUGCAGAUAAUGCAAGCACAGAAAUACCAAUUGAUGGAUGAUGCAAUACAACCUCACACACUGGAUCCACUUGUAUAUGGUCAAAAUGAAAGGUGGACACAUAUAGUGGUUGACAGUGUAAAGGGCAAGGGUCAACAAUAUCAUGUGAUCUUCUUGGCUACUGUUGAUGGUUAUAUAAGGAAAAUGGCAUACUUACCUCAGCUUAACUCAUCCUGUCUCAUAGAAGAACAUAAGAUUGUACCGAAUGGAGAUUAUAAACCUGUCAAAAAUCUGAGGAUAUCAGAAGAUAAGGGUGCAGUGUAUGUAACAGUGACAGGGAAAAUCAUAAAGAUACCAGUACAAAGGUGUGACAGAUUUACUGAUCAAGAUCUGUGUAAAAAUUCCAUGGAUCCAUACUGUGGUUGGAACAAGGCUUCCAGUAAAUGUACAACUGCUCCAGAUAAUGAUCCCUCCAUACACUACUGGAUGCAAGACAUCAUAUCCUGUCCAAUAGUGGAACAUCCUAUUGAUGGGAUGUGGUCAGAAUGGUCAGAAUGGGAAACCUGCCAGCAGACAGUUCCAGAUCCUUCAGCAGGGGAUUGCCUUUGUAGAACAAGAUCAUGUGACAAUCCUAAACCUGCUUUUGGUGGAAAGUCCUGUGCAGGAUCAGUUGUUGAGGUCACCAAUUGUACAGCACAUGGCCAGUGGACAGCUUGGACUGCUUGGUCUAAGUGUUCUAUAACCUGUGGGCACAAUGGAACAAGAUCUCGAAACCGUUACUGUAGUAAUCCUCCACCAAGAUAUAUGGGCAGAGAUUGUAUAGGGUCUGACAGAGAUGAGGGUUAUUGUCCAGGUAACCCUAGCUGUCCAGAACCACCUGUCGAUGGUAAAUGGACAGUUUGGUCACCAUGGGGUGACUGUACCGCUGAUUGUAAUGGUGGAAUACAAACACGGAUACGUCGGUGUAGUCAACCACCGCCAUCCCCAAAGGGAAGACCAUGUGAGGGAAAUACUCAAGAAUGGAGGAUGUGCAAUACUCUUCAUUGUCAAGAAUUAGAAAAAUAUGCACCAUGGACCAAAUGGAUCAAAACAAAUUCAACUUCCAGUGGACAUUUUGAACAGAGAUUCCGUUAUAUGUGCAAAGCAAAUGUUCCUGAUGUCAGUAUGAUAAAAACAAGCUAUGUGAAAACACAUACAAGGUUUUGUUUUAAAAAUGAUGGGACGUGUCAUAAAGCAGAAAUAGCAAGGAACAUAACAAAGGAUGGUGGAUGGUCGUCUUGGCAACCAUGGUCUGACUGUUCUAAAGAUUGUGGAGGAGGAACUCAACAUAGGAAGAGAUCAUGUGAUAAUCCACAGCCAAUGGGUUUAGGAAAAGACUGUUCAGGUCAUUACAUAGAAGCUAGGCAGUGUAACAUACAUUCUUGCCAAGGUUUAUGGGGAUGUUGGUCAGAAUAUUCCGUAUGUUCAGCUACAUGUGGACAUGGAAGUCAUGUCAGAGUGAGACGAUGUGACAGUUCUGUUCAAGGAACUAAAUUUCUUUUUCCUUGCAAAGGACAUGACACUGAUUACAAACCAUGCACAACUCCCCUAUGUAAUGCAUCAGCUGGUUGGAAUCACUGGUCUGAUUGGACUGUGUGUGGAGUAGAAGAUUUACAGUAUCGACACAGACAGUGUCAACUUGAGCAUCCAUCAGAUGAGGAAUGUCAAGGUCAUAGAAUAGAGAAUAGAGGAUGCGAAUAUAUACCAUUCAGAAUUGGUGUAGCACCUAUUAAAGAACGAGAAGAGACAGAGAAAACUUACUCUUUGUUAAACCUGAUUGUUGUUGCAUCAGGGUCUUUUAUUUUUGGCAUAAUGUUGACUAUUGGGUUGUAUUUAUGUGUUAAAAGUUGUCGCAGCUUCAGAAAAUUUGAUUUAGAAAAAGAACGAAAGAAAAAUGAACAACUUAAUAAUGGAAAAAGGAAAUGUGGAUCAGUGUCAUCACAACUAAGUUUAGAUUUUUUGACAGUUAAUAACAAAGUGUUUCAUGUUAGUUCUUUACAGAUCUCAAAACAAGAUAAAUUUGUAUCGAGUAAGAAUUCAUUAAACUCUUUAAAAAGAAAGGAAGCAAUGCAGACAGAUUUGCAGUCAAAUGACGGGUAACAUUAACAAUCAUUGAUCAUGUGAUUCUCAUUACCACAUCUUACCACAUUUCUUUUAUCAUCUUCAAUAUUUAGGAACUAUACCUAGCCAAUAGUACUGAAAGUGAUGUUAAACACCAACAAUCAAUCAAUCAACUCAACAAUAUCAGUAGGAUUGUUGAUAUGAGUAGAAUGGUAGAUUUAAGAAUAAAUGUAAAUUGGUGUUUCUGACAGUGUUGUGAUCUAUAAAUGGAAAGACUUUCAUUUGAACCGCCCUGGUUGACAGAAAUAAGCAAAAUACACAGGUAAGAGUGGUUCAAAUGAAAGUCUUGCCCUAUCAAAGGUGAUUUCAACCAUAUGAGUUUUUUUCUUCUAAUUUUGUAAGUUUGUCUUGGACCAGAUUAUAGAUGUGAUUUGUCAUUGAUAUUGAACAAUUAUGUAUAUAAGAACAAUUUAUUUAUGAUUUUAGUUAUUUUUUAUUAUUGUGUAUAUUAUUUUUUAAUUUAUAAGAUUUACUGUACUGUUAUCUAAAAGUCUUUGGUCAUCAUUUAGUGUAUCCCAUGAAAAGAUUUAAAUACUCACACAAUACACAACACAUGUACUACUCUUAAAAAUCAGAAUCAUACCCAGACCAACAACAUGAAUAUCAGGAAACAUCUAUUUCAAAGGUAUUUUGAAUUAUUUAAUGUAAAGGUGGUAUAUUAUUCAGCCUUACACUUUGCUUCAGAUAAGAUUACUUACAACACUAUAAACAAUACAAAACACUUAUAAACAAUUCUACAAAGAGAACUUCUAGUCAUUUAUUAAACAGCCAGUUAUGAAAGAUAAAGAAUUUGUCAGUUAUACUCCAGCAGUUAUAAUUGAUUCAUCUCAGCCAACCAAGACUAUUACAUUUAUGUUGUAAAUAGUAUUCUGUUUCAUCAGAAGUUUUAAGUAAUGGAUUUUUGCUUUCAUAUAAAAUUAUCAUUAGAACUAAAAGUGUGAUUGAAACAAUAUUUGCUAAUUUUUCUGCUUACUUUUUUGACACAUGAAGAUAUUCAAAAAUAUUUCAAAAUGAAUAUUCUGUUUUAUUCAAUUUUUUAUAUGAAUUAUCACAACAGCUUGCUAGAUGUAUUAAAACUCUUGAAAAAAAAAGUUCUUAUAUAUAUAUAUAUGUAUCAUAAGUUGUGAAUAGUUUCAUAUUUCUAUUUAAAUAAACAAUGCAGAUUUGA